GUGCCAGCCGCCGCGGUAAUACCGGCAGCACGAGUGAUGGCCGAUAUUAUUGGGCCUAAAGCGUCCGUAGCCGGCCGAACAAGUCCGUUGGGAAAUCGACGCGCUCAACGCGUCGGCGUCCGGCGGAAACUGUACGGCUUGGGGCCAGAAGACCUGAGGGGUACGUCCGGGGUAGGAGUGAAAUCCCGUAAUCCUGGACGGACCACCGGUGGCGAAAGCGCCUCAGGAAGAUGGACCCGACGGUGAGGGACGAAAGCUAGGGUCUCGAACCGGAUUAGAUACCCGGGUAGUCC
rnacentral:rRNA from 1 species